GAACUGUGGAGAUCCAAGAUCAGUAGCCGUAGCUGGUGGAAAUCCAAUCACCAUGAGCUCCAUCUGUCUCCUGCUGUUUCUGACAGCUGUGUCCUGUGUGGAUUCAGUUGAAUUUACUCAGUCAGAUAAUAUAGUGGUACGACCUGGAGAGGUGUUUACAAUCUCCUGUAAAUUCUCUGGGUUUUCAAUAUCCAGCUACUGUCCACGCUGGAUUCGCCAAACACCAUCCAAGACUUUGGAACAUAUUGGAUAUGUGUGUAGCAGCAGCUCGAAUGUAAAGGACUCACUCAAGAACAAAAUCAGUUUCUCUGCAGACGUCUCCAGCAGCACAGUGUUUUUAAAGGGACAAAACUUUCAGACGGAGGACACAGCUGUGUAUUACUGCACACGAGAGCCACAGUCAUUCAGAGUACUGGUGCAGCUGUACAAAAACCAGGGUCAUACUGUGUGGAGCUCUCUUUAG